rnacentral:rRNA from 1 species
GAACGCUGGCGGCGUGCCUAAUACCUGCAAGUCGAGCGAACAGAUGAGGAGCUUGCUCCUCUGACGUUAGCGGCGGACGGGUGAGUAACACGUGGAUAACCUACCUAUAAGACUGGGAUAACUUCGGGAAACCGGAGCUAAUACCGGAUAAUAUAUUGAACCGCAUGGUUCAAUAGUGAAAGACGGUUUUGCUGUCACUUAUAGAUGGAUCCGCGCCGCAUUAGCUAGUUGGUAAGGUAACGGCUUACCAAGGCAACGAUGCGUAGCCGACCUGAGAGGGUGAUCGGCCACACUGGAACUGAGACACGGUCCAGACUCCUACGGGAGGCAGCAGUAGGGAAUCUUCCGCAAUGGGCGAAAGCCUGACGGAGCAACGCCGCGUGAGUGAUGAAGGUCUUCGGAUCGUAAAACUCUGUUAUUAGGGAAGAACAAAUGUGUAAGUAACUAUGCACGUCUUGACGGUACCUAAUCAGAAAGCCACGGCUAACUACGUG